AGUGAACGCUGGCGGUAGGCCUAACACAUGCAAGUCGAACGGCAGCACAGUAAGAGCUUGCUCUUACGGGUGGCGAGUGGCGGACGGGUGAGGAAUACAUCGGAAUCUACUUUUUCGUGGGGGAUAACGUAGGGAAACUUACGCUAAUACCGCAUACGACCUACGGGUGAAAGCAGGGGAUCUUCGGACCUUGCGCGAUUGAAUGAGCCGAUGUCGGAUUAGCUAGUUGGCGGGGUAAAGGCCCACCAAGGCGACGAUCCGUAGCUGGUCUGAGAGGAUGAUCAGCCACACUGGAACUGAGACACGGUCCAGACUCCUACGGGAGGCAGCAGUGGGGAAUAUUGGACAAUGGGCGCAGGCCUGAUCCAGCCAUACCGCGUGGGUGAAGAAGGCCUUCGGGUUGUAAAGCCCUUUUGUUGGGAAAGAAAAGCAGCAGGUUAAUACCCCGCUGUUCUGACGGGACCCAAAGAAUAAGACCGGCUAACUUCGUG
rnacentral:rRNA from 1 species